CGCGGGACUGCGCCGCGCAUUCCGCACAUUCCCGCCCGGCCUCGGUUCCGCCGCCACGUGGUUGCUCUGCGCGCCGCGCUUACCGUAAGGCUUGGAGAAGGCGCGCACGCCCGGCUCGCCAGCGCGUGCGGACCUCCCAGGGUGCGGGGCCCGAGGCGUGGUCCAGCCGCCCUGCCCGCGUGCGUGGAUUGGGGCUCUUGUUUUGUUUGGUUUUGUUUUUCACGUAAUAAGGAGAGUUGUGCUGCUGGAGUGAUGACGUAUUCAUUUGUAAAGGCGGGCAAGGAGAGUCUCAGGCCCCGUGGGUAUUUGUAAUCGGGUGACUGUCCGUCUGAGGAACAGGAGUGACCACUGUGUCUUCCCAGCGGUGACAGAGCCGGAAGAGGAACUGCAGCUUCUGAUCGUUUUCUUCUCCUUUUCCUUAUUAUUCAAAAGCAGUGGGCGGCACAGCCCAGUGCUCUGCACAACUGAUUAGUUCAAGAUAAAGAGUCUGGUUCAUCCCUGGAACCUGAGCAGCUGACCUUAACCAACAGGAUGCCCGGCUCUGCCUCUGGGGCCCACUGGAGCCCAUAGGACCCUGCAUGGAUGGAGGUCCCCCCGGCUGGAAAGGGUGAGACAUGCCUAUUUGCUCAGAAUUCAAACUACUGCAGGGUUUUGGAGAGCAAGCAUCCUCCCCUCAUGGACCAAUCCUCGUGCCUCACUUCUCCUGCAGUUUACCUUGCCCCCAAGCUCAUUGAUGCCAUGCAUUUAAUCUUCAAAGCAAACCCCAGAAACACACUUGACGUCAGGAGGUUUGCUCCCAUAUUUGUGAGAGUGCCAAGAGUGUCACCUACAGACCUGCAUCUGCUGGGAGCUGUCCGGUCUUGGGUAAAUCUUUGUCUUCGUCUGUAAAGUGGGGUAUGAUUUCACUCCAACCAAGGCCAUGGAGCAGAGUCAUUAAGGGACCCUGAGCCAUGACAACGGGGAAACGAGACUCCAGAGAUGACCACAGUACUCGCCUCCCGUUCACCUCCACACAACGACUUCAUGAAGAAGUUGAAAAAAACCUCUUUCUCUACCCGGCCAAUGAGAGAGGACUUAGCCUCCAAGGAUUCUUACUAAAUACGGCUAACCUGGUAGGAUGAAAAGGGCAGUCAGAGUACUUGCCAGACAGAAGCAGAUUAUGGCAGGCAUCGCCAGCGAGUGGGGGGGCAUUGUUUUCCUGCCGCUCCCCCCACACAGGGUCCCACCAGUUUGUUUCUUUUUUGUCUGGAUUAACAUGCCCAAUAAUGACGCUUUCAUAUUGUCUAGUGUUUUAUCUGUUUAUUUUUUUUAAAGAUUUAUUUAUUUAUUCAUGAGAGACACAGGGAGAGGUAGAGACAUAGGCAGAGGGAG